rnacentral:lncRNA from 1 species
GUUUUGGCGGUUAUCACAAUUUUGCUGGCUGUUUUAGUGUUGUAGGUACUCGGCCUUGUGACAGUAAGACCGUUCUGUUGACUUUUCAGCGUUCAGUGCCCAAAAUAGCAGCGUGUCCACCAGCUGACGUCACCGGACGCCGCGCUGACGCAUCCGACGCCCACAACGCCCGCUCCGAGGCCAUCAAUACAGCGGUGGCGACAAGAUGGCGGAGCAGCUGACGCCACGGACCGGUUUCGCCCACUCUCUUGUGGCUCUCAACCUUCUGGAGCAGCCCGGUUUCUUCAGUGGAAUUUUGUGAGUGGGUUUGAGAGCCGCUGGCACGGUCUGCAGCGGACUGUUCCGGUUCAGGCGGUUGCGUCAUGCGACCGACGCUGCGUCACGACCCGCAGUCGAAGCGCCUCUAGCGGUCGUGGUCGGAAACGGUACUGCGCAAUAAUUUCCCACCAAUCACCAUCCGCCGUUUGGGCGACGCCGGCUGCUGAUUGGUUGGAAGGCUCGGGAGUGUGCUUGGCCCAGAUACGCAGAUAGCUGGGUUUCAGGGUCCCUCGCCAGAGCCGCCAUUCUCGUACCUGUGCUCCGGCAGUGCGGUUGUGCUAGUGAUGGCUCCGUCUCGCUGCGAUUUAAGCUUAUUUGCUAGCUCUUUUUUCCAGAAGAUCAUAACCAUCAAGAUUUGCUUUUUGAGUUUUUGAGCUAACAUUUUGGUGUUUCAAUUUUAGUUGUGGUGUGUGAACUUGCAUUCAGUGUACUGUAACGUAGCUUUUUCUUCAUUAAGUUGUGAAGUGCAAGGCGCUAGGUCGGAUAAGUAUUUUGUUGAAAUACUUUCAAGUAAUCCUCUAAGUAUCCCUAAGUAGUUAAGCCUCACUACUUUUCUUCAAAUGGUGGCUGCAAUCAGGUGUUGAGUGCUGUGACAAGGUCCUUGCAUUCAUUUCGUGUCAUCCGGGUGAUUCUUGAACGCCUUACUGCUAGGAAGUUGGUUGAAGUCCUUUUUACUUUCGAUGGACAUUUGCGCUCCUCCUAGGUUGGUCCUGUUACGAAAGGCGUCGCCGGCUGGCACGCCACGUCAGCGAGACGCUACACUUUCUUUGUGACGUCACCGUUGGCGGCCAUGUUGGCCGAGGGACGCGCGCGCCACCUGACGUCGGCAAGGUACUGCCCGGCCGCCAUUUUGAUCGCGGACGCGCCGCAGGAGCUGCUGGUUCCAUGAGACGUCGAUAAAGACGGAAUAAAGUGAGUGGGGCAGGGCGGCGGCGGUGCGCUUCCGGCCAUCGUCUGUCGUAGGGGCCUGGCGACCCCUCCCCGGACCCGAGCCGCAGGUGUUUACCUUUCUCUAGUCAUGGUCGACGUAAGAGGCUAGUGUUCUAGCACAGUACUAGGACAGUUUCGUUUACGAAUUCCGAAAAGAGCACCUUCGAUAUACUGCCGAGGGUAUCGUUAUUUCAAAGGCUAUGAAAUACCGUAUUAAGAAUGCCAAGACAAAAUGGUACGAGUUACAAUGAGACAAACCUCAGGGAUCCUCACUCCUUGUGAUGGCAAUAAAACAUCCCCACUACACUUAGAAUGCACGAUGGUGAUGGGGAGUGUGCUGUGCUGCUGUCAAAACGUGUCCUAACGCCUCUGUUAAUGUUGGUAUGAUCUGUGCACUGAAGCAUUGCCUUUUGUCAUUGACGUUUCACGUUCUUGGGAAAGUAGACUUGCCAGUGACGUGAAUUUAAGCUCUUGAGUUUGGCUCUGUUGAUGGUCAGGUGCUUUGGUUGCCAAGUAGUGGCCUGUUGUGCUGUGCUGUGCUGUCCCGGUGCGCGCGUGGUUGGAUGUGCUAUCCACAGCUGGUGUCAGCCGAGGUUGUUAGCGUCCUGCACGCUGCGCGGCAUCGUCCGCCCGCUCACCCUGAGUGUCGGACUCCCGCACACCUCCGCGCACUGGCCAAGAUGGGCGCGAGAACGGCCUAACAGCUGCUCCUGGCAAGCACUGGUGUCCCGGCUAACUACCACUCAAGUCUCCCGGCACUGGCGUCUCGCAUGAGGCCCCUGGCGAGUCGCGUCCCGGGCUCCGCCGAUCUGUGAGUGAUGCAGCAUUGACGCUGGUGGUCCCGCCGCUGUUGCUACCGCUAUCGCGUGUGCCUGAAAGGGAUCCUGUGGAAUUUUUCCUAUGACUGGUUCUGACGGAACUCGGGCUGUGUCUGGCUUUUGUUCCUAACCGUAGACACGCUGAUUAGAUUGUACAUUUGUGUAGUGAGUUAUGCGAUAGGUUCUGCUGUUCGUGGCUCGCUGUUUGUGCCUUGAUGGUCUCGCCCUUUUCGAUCCCUGGGGUUACACCACACACUGCGUUUCGACAUUUUGCACGCGUAGCGCCCUCCCCCGGUGGCAGUAACACUGCUUGCAGAAGGCGGUGGCAGAGAGUCAGCCGUUCCUGUUGCGCGGGGCACCUUUCGGGACAUCAGGACCGUUCCUGUGCGACUCCACGACGGGGAGUGCGCUCACCCGGCGGCCCGGCUUAUCACCGACCUGGUGGCAAACCUCGACCCGGCGGCCGCGGACGUGAUCGGCGCAUCUGCCGUGACACCCGGCCCGGUCAGGAGGCAGCCCGCGGACCCGGUGCGGCCGACCCGCGACCCGAUGGUCACCGUCAGCAGUGCGUCAUCGUACACGGUAACUGCCGCUCGCGGCAGCUUCACCUCAGACUCUAUCCUAUCAGUAGUUAGCCGAAACACGCUACAAACACUUCUUCUAGCAACGAAAUACGUAGACUGAACUGUCCGACGAAAGACGCACGAUUCAUUUGUUGAUCACCUAAGAGGAUGGGACCGUUUCGGUGCACGACUUGCGCGCAUUCCGUUGCAGACAGCGUUUCGAGAGACCGGACGUCACGAGUGAAAGAGCCGUCACGCUUGCGGAGCAGCCGGGACGCAACCACUCAGAAGGUCGUGCACGACUAGGUACGAACUUCCGAGUAGUACCUGAGGUAGGAAAUCGAACGUCAGAACAGUAGCAAACGAUAGAGGAAUGACAACAAUAUUCGGGAAAAAUAAUAUUCCAAGCGUCAUGCGCUGUGAUCAGUUCCACACGAUUUCUCUUUUGUUUGUUGAAAUAAAUCGAGGCUGUUCCAUGGCGGUCGAUGUGUGGGUGUGCGGAGCGACUCUGUUCCAGGAUCGUGGUCUCGUCCUGUUCGACUCCAGACUGUGGUACUCGUUCCCUCCGCCGAGAGCCAAUACAAGGAUAUCGUGGUACA